ACGGAGGGUGCAAGCGUUGUUCGGAUUCACUGGGCAUAAAGAGCAUGUAGGCGGCUCGCUCAGUCAGGUGUGAAAGCCCACGGCCCAACCGUGGAACUGCACCUGAUACUGGCGAGCUCGAGGUCGGAAGGGGUGAGUGGAACUUCAGGUGGAACGGUGAAAUGUAUAGAUAUCUGAAGGAACACCGGUGGCGAAAGCGGCUCACUGGUCCGACUCUGACGCUGAGAUGCGAAAGCUAAGGUAGCGAACGGG
rnacentral:rRNA from 1 species